UACGAAGGGGGCUAGCGUUGCUCGGAAUCACUGGGCGUAAAGCGCACGUAGGCGGGUUGUUAAGUCAGGGGUGAAAUCCUGGAGCUCAACUCCAGAACUGCCUUUGAUACUGGGGAUCUCGAGUCCGGGAGAGGUGAGUGGAACUGCGAGUGUAGAGGUGAAAUUCGUAGAUAUUCGCAAGAACACCAGUGGCGAAGGCGGCUCACUGGCCCGGAACUGACGCUGAGGUGCGAAAGCGUGGGGAGCAAACAGG
rnacentral:rRNA from 1 species